rnacentral:lncRNA from 1 species
UCGGUGAGACCAAGAACCCACCAUUUCCAGACACGGAAUCUGGCCAUGACAUGUAGCUGGGUGCUUCUGCCUCAAGAUUUUGUGCAAAUUUGCAAUCAAAUCAUCUGCUAGGACUGUGGCCUCAUCUAAAGACUGAGGAAGGAACUGCUUUCGGGUUCACCUACAUGGCUGUUGGCAGGAUUCAGCCACACAUACACCAUCACCGUGGGGCCUGUCCUCCCGGCUGUUCACAGAGACCCUUCUCAGCUCCUGGCCACACAGGAGCCCCCACAGGGCAGCUCACAACACACAGCUGCCUCCAUUUCAAUGGGCAAGGAAGAGAACCACAGAGCACAAGAUGGAACCCAGAGACUUUUGUAACCUCACCUUGGAAGAAACAUAAUCACUUUUGUCAUAUUGUAUUUAUUAGAAGUAAGUCACUAGCUCAACCCACCCUCAGGGAAGAAGUUUCCAUGAGGGCAUGGUUACUUACCAUAAGAAAGAGUCAAUCAACUCUGCUCCCGAUCUCUGCAAAGCUUCCAAUAAAAGUUAAACAACUAGUUUUGGCUAGUGCAUAUCCACCCAAACUGUUUUUAUUAUGUGAGCUUUAUGUUACAAAAAGCAACCAGAACAAAAACUAAUAAUAAUUUUAAAUAUUUAUGAUAGAGACACAUCUCUAUCAAUGAAUUAUUUAACUGUAACAUUAAUCUCCCUUAGAAUAGCCCACAUUCAGGUUCACGGAGGAAGGGGAAUACAAAUCAUACUCAUCACAGUUUCUCUUUGUAACUGAGCCCAGGUUUCGCUGCUUGCCACUGAAAAACCAAGCUCAAGAGAUGAGAGUUAAUGGGAGGAAAAGCAGGUUUAUUCAAAAGCUGGCAACCUGAGAACAUUGUGAACUAGUGUUGCAGAGACCAUCUUGAGUUUUUCAGGCUGGCUGGAGGGUUUUUAUGGGAGGGGGAUAUGGAGAAGCUAAACACAGGGGUUGACUAUGUAUGUCAAUAUGUUUGGUCUCAGUGACUGUCUUGAGUGAUGGCCAUCUGGUGGUCUGGUGGGCGUCAGCCUGAUUCCAACAGGAAUACAGAUUAACUGCUUAGAAUUCUUCCCAGGACGGGAUGUUCUGCAACCUUGAUUCCAUGCUUAGUUUUUCAAGGACAGUUCCUGGAGUUCUUUAGGCGAAGCACAUGAGUUAAGCAUUAUCAAAAGCCCAGCAUGGAAAGAAGGGUGAAAAAAAGAAAAAAGAGAAUAAUUUUUCAAGACAGAGUGGCAGUUUCUGCUACAAAUUCCCUACUGUUGAUUUUUAAUUCAAUUUCUAUGGAAAAUUGGUUGUCAAUUACAAUCUGGCUACUUCCUGCUGGAUGGGGCUGUUGAUUGGGAACUUGGGAAUGAAACCAUUUGACCUGGCUCUGAGCUGACUUUUUUUUUUAGUCUUUAGGAGGACCUGAAUUCCCAAUUGCAAAGGAUGUAGGGACACAUCUUAGGAUGAGUGGUCUUUUUAGAAGCAGACUCAUGAACAGAAACUAGUAUAGUGCCUACAGUCUUAACAUAUUUGGCAAUUGGUGAAUUUCUUAAAGUUAUCAGUUGGUUUUCCCAACAGUGCAGAAACGUGGAAUGGCCUACCAUAUAACAUUUUAAAGGGACCCAAUUUCUUCCUAUUUUGAGGAUCUAUUUUAAUCUAUAACAGGGCGACCAGCAACACCUUAUCUCAAGUCAAAUUGGCUUCUUGACAGAUUUUGGUAAUGCUUUUUUUUUUAGUAUGGUUUAUCUUUUAGUUUCUUUCUGUCAAUUGUAGUCUCCAAGAUGCCAAUUUAAAGGCUGCAGGAAGAGGCAAGUCAAAGCUUUCCUGAACAUUCCUGCAACCUUCACAGUCUUUUUAAAAUCAGGGGCUAGAUGAAUAUUAACUAUAAACUAUAUGGCUCCUAUAUCAAUAAGAAAGGCAAUAAGUUAAUUACCCACUGUCAGUUGUAAUGGGGCUCCUGUGAUACAUGAUGACAGGUUGGCUAAACAUAUGUUUUUAACGAGUUAUAGGAGGAGCUAUGAAUAUUCAUGAAGGUGGUCCUGACUCAUGUAUUGAACAAGUCAGGUAACAUAUGACUCAUGUUCACUUUUGGCAUGGAGACUUCACAUUUCAAUGUACUAUAAUUAGGCUGUAUGUGCUAAAAGGGAUUUUCAGGACAAAGAGGCAUGCAAGUACACAAUCUGUAAACUGACCAGAACCAGUCUAUGGUCAGUGGUCUAUUAUCAGGGGAAAGUUACUAAAAUCAGCUCUUGUCCAAUCAAAGUUUUAGUUACAGCUGGUAGAACAGGGUCUGGAAAUCAGUAAAUUAGCAUCUGGUGGAGCUGCAAAUUGUUUUAAUACUGCUUAUCUCAAGACAGGUUCUUGUUUAGCUGCUGAAGAAAAAGAAAUAUAUAGUGGCAGUUUAGGGUGACUGUAUUAGUCCAUUCUCAUGCUGCUAAUAAAGACAUACUUGAGACUGAGUAAUUUAUAAAAGAAAAAGGUUUAAUUGACUCACAGUUUAGCAUAGCUGGGGAUGCCUCAGGAAACAUACAAUCAUGGCAGAAGGAGAAGCAACACAUCCUUCUUCAUAUGGUGGCAGGAAGGAUAAGUGCUGAGCAAAGCAGGGAAAGUCCCUUAUAAAACCAUCAGAUCUCAUGAGAACUCUCUAUCACAAGAACAGCAUGGAAGAAACCACCCCCAUCAUGCAAUUACACCUCCAGCAGGUCCCUCCCACAACAUGUGGGGAUUGUGGGAACUAUAAUAGAAGAUAAGAUUUGAGUGCAGACAUAGCCAAACUGAAUCAGUGACUUAAUCCUUGCCUGGAAUGGCCAUAAGUCCCAUUUACAAUUUGGUAUCUUAUUACCACAAAGAGUUGUUUCUGUCAGUCUUAUGAUCUAAUUUUAACAUUAAUGUUGUUCAGUUGUGUCUAAACCAUAAAAGGAAGAGGAUAUAAUGAGACAUGUCUGACCUUUUGUCUCAUCAUGGCUGGGAACUAAGUUUUUAAGAUUCCUUCUCUGGAGUUCUCUUGGCCAAGAGGGGGUUUAUUCACUCAGUGAGGGGGCGCUUAGCAUUUUGUUUUUUAGUUUGCAUUUCCCCUUUUCUGUUAAGAUAUGCCAGAGGUAGUAUAGAUAGCCAAACUUUUAUUUUGUCCCAUGUUGAUAUGAGGGUGAUAUGCUACCUGCCCCAGGUCCAUCAAGUCCCUCAGUGGGACCCCUUUGGCCAAGGGACUUAGAGUCAAAAGACUUAUAGCCAAUGAAACAUUCUAGCCCAGAUGAGAAUAAAAAAAAAAAACUCUCAAAUAGCUCAAAAAGAAAACAAUAAGUUUUCAUGCCUCUGGAAAAACAAAACAUAAAGAAUGGCAACAUUUCAAAUAAAAAAGGUCAUAAGCUCUAGUUUUGAAAAAGACAGAAGAAAGCUCAUAGGUAGCUAAACAUUUAAACUAUCUAGUAUCAAGCAUUCAGAUAGAGGCAAAAUUAUUAAAUGAGUCUUAAUAUCUUUGAAAACAGGCCACUCUCUGCAUCUCAUAAAAGCAGUAUACUUUUCCCAGGUCUGGAGAAAAAGCUUUGGUUAAUGAGUCUGGUGUCAGACACUGGUGUCAACAUUUAAGAUUUAGCAAUAGUUGGUACCUUUUUAGAUGAGAUAGUUAUGCCCAGGAAUCAAAACCCUGUUACUUAACAGGACAAGGAUUAGUCAAUAGCACCUGGUAGGGACCCUUUCAAGGGGCUGGAGGUAAUGAUACUGGAGUCCAUGACCUGACUGGAAGGUGUAAAAAGAUUCUACAAUGUUGUGGUGAUUAAUUUUUGUAGCUUUGGUAAGUCCCAAGUAAUAAGUCUAGGUCAAA